rnacentral:misc_RNA from 1 species
GUGAUUAAAUCGAGGCGUGUCUUCAUUGACCUGCUCACCCCCUUCUCACCAUCCACCUUACACCUGUGCCUGUUAGCCUGAGCCGGUUUUUCCGUUGUCCAGGUUACCAUUUCAUACAACUCUAGUCUUAUUGAAUGUAAACGUUUUAAUAACAUAAU